AAGGUUUUAAGUUAACAAAACUAUUAACCUUCAAAGUUAAAAUUAUAAAAUUUAUUAUAAGCCUUA
rnacentral:tRNA from 1 species